rnacentral:rRNA from 1 species
CGAACGCUGGAGAUCUAGCUUGCUAGAUCGAAGGAGUGGCGAACGGGUGAGUAAUACAUAAGCAACCUACCCACGAAGACUGGGAUAAUCUCUGGAAACGGGGACUAAUACCGGAUAGGUAAUCGGAAGGCAUCUUCUGGUUAUUAAAGGUUAAAAACACUGGUGGAUGGGCUUAUGGCGCAUUAGUUAGUUGGUGAGGUAACGGCCCACCAAGACGAUGAUGCGUAGCCGGCCUGAGAGGGUGAACGGCCACAUUGGGACUGAGACACGGCCCAGACUCCUACGGGAGGCAGCAGUAGGGAAUUUUCGGCAAUGGGGGCAACCCUGACCGAGCAACGCCGCGUGAGUGAAGACGGCCUUCGGGUUGUAAAGCUCUGUUGUAAGGGAAGAACGGUAGAUAGAGAAUAUCUAAGUGACGGUACCUUACCAGAAAGCCACGGCUAACUACGUGCCAGCAGCCGCGGUAAUACGUAGGUGGCGAGCGUUAUCCGGAAUUAUUGGGCGUAAAGGGUGCGUAGGCGGCCUGUUAAGUAAGUGGUUAAAUUGUUGGGCUCAACCCAAUCCAGCCACUUAAACUGGCAGGCUAGAGUAUUGGAGAGGCAAGUGGAAUUCCAUGUGUAGCGGUAAAAUGCGUAGAUAUAUGGAGGAA